UACGGGGGGAGCAAGCGUUGUUCGGAUUUACUGGGCGUAAAGGGCGCGUAGGCGGCACAGCAAGUCGGGAGUGAAAGCCCGGGGCUCAACCCCGGAACUGCUUUCGAAACUGCUGAGCUAGGGUACAGAAGGGGCAACCGGAAUUCCCAGUGUAGCGGUGAAAUGCGUAGAUAUUGGGAAGAACACCUGAGGCGAAGGCGGGUUGCUGGGCUGAUACUGACGCUGAGGCGCGAAAGCCAGGGGAGCAAACGGG
rnacentral:rRNA from 1 species